AGGGCGACGGCAACAUCCGCUACUACGAGAUCGGCUCCGAGAAGCCCUACCUGAGUUACCUCAUGGAAUUCCGCUCCCCCGCCCCGCAGAAAGGACUGGGGGUGAUGCCGAAGCACGGCCUGGACGUGUCGGCCUGUGAGGUCUUUCGGUUCUACAAACUCAUCACCCUCAAGGGGCUCAUCGAGCCCAUCUCCAUGAUCGUGCCCAGGAGGUCCGAGACGUACCAGGAGGACAUUUACCCCAUGACACCGGGCACGGAGCCCGCCCUGACCCCGGA